rnacentral:rRNA from 1 species
GAUGAACGCUGGCGGCGUGCUUAACACAUGCAAGUCGAACGGAAAGGCCCAAGCUUGCUUGGGUACUCGAGUGGCGAACGGGUGAGUAACACGUGGGUGAUCUGCCCUGCACUUCGGGAUAAGCCUGGGAAACUGGGUCUAAUACCGGAUAGGACCACUUCUUGGAUGUUGUGGUGGAAAGUUUUUUCGGUGUGGGAUGAGCUCGCGGCCUAUCAGCUUGUUGGUGGGGUAAUGGCCUACCAAGGCGUCGACGGGUAGCCGGCCUGAGAGGGUGUACGGCCACAUUGGGACUGAGAUACGGCCCAGACGCCUACGGGAGGCAGCAGUGGGGAAUAUUGCACAAUGGGCGCAAGCCUGAUGCAGCGACGCCGCGUGGGGGAUGACGGCCUUCGGGUUGUAAACACCUUUCGCUAGGGACGAAGCGUUUUGUGACGGUACCUGGAGAAGAAGCACCGGCUAACUACGUG